UGGGGGAUAUUGGACAAUGGGGGGAACCCUGAUCCAGCGACGCCGCGUGAGUGAAGAAGUAUCUCGGUAUGUAAAGCUCUAUCAGCAGGGAAGAAGAAGGACGGUACCUGAAUAAGAAGCCCCGGCUAACUACGUGCCAGCAGCCGCGGUAAUACGUAGGGGGCGAGCGUUAUCCGGAAUCACUGGGUGUAAAGGGAGCGUAGACGGUAUGGUAAGUCUGGAGUGAAAGGCGGGGGCCCAACCCCCGGACUGCUCUGGAAACUAUCAGACUAGAGUGCAGGAGAGGCAGGCGGAAUUCCUGGUGUAGCGGUGAAAUGCGUAGAUAUCAGGAGGAACAUCGGUGGCGAAGGCGGCCUGCUGGACUGUGACUGACGUUGAGGCUCGAGAGCGUGGGGAGCGAACAGG
rnacentral:rRNA from 1 species